AAGCCCAAGGCUUAGGGAGAGGAUAUGGUGUCCCAGGCCAUCAGUUUCUGAGCUGCUGCUGAAGCCAGCCAUUUGGUCCAGGGACACCUCGGGGCUGCCCGCCUGAAGGCCACAAUGAUGUUCUCUGCUCACAGGACCUGCAGGAGUACAGAGAGGCUGCCAAGUGUCCUGGGGCAGCUCAGUGGGGCAGUAGGACGCGGAGCCCACAGCCUUGCCAACACACCUGCCCACAUGGUGGCUGAAGCCAUGCAGGAUCCCAGCGCUCCCAGCAACCUCCCUUCUGGAACCCACCCAGGUCCCCAGGCCCUCAAUGAAGAGAGGGAGAGCUAACUUCUUCUCAGCUGGUUCUCUGCAUCGUGAAGACACACUGAGAAGUUGGCAGUCUAACUCCUGAAGGAAGGCUCUCCCCGAACCCAACCAUGCUGGCACCAUGAUCUUGAACUUCCAGCCUCCAGAACUCUCGGGCCUGGCAAGCUCCCCAGAGGUGUUAGAUGGAUGAAAGAAGAACCCACAAGUGCGCAGGCUCAUCAAAGAACGGGCUGUUAGCCCCAGCCCCGACGCAACGGCCCCACUGAGAAACCCCAUGCAUCUGCUUGCUGGGGAGCAGACAGACAGAUGGAAGCCAGCGAGGCCUAGGAAUUCUUUGGGGGAAAGAAGCUCAUUUCCAAACGUUGGGGAGACAAGCACCGAGAGACCAGGCAGUGUGGCCCAACUACAAAGCAGGUCCCAGGCUGAAGCAGAGGUGGCACCUGGGUCUCCCCUGAGUCCAGGCUGUCUCCCAACGUCAGGGGGGGCUCCAGCUCCAGUCUGAGAGGCAACGCAUUCAGAAGAGCCCUGGCCGUGAGCAGGUCCUCAGAGAGCACCUUUGGCUACACAUCUCCAUUUUAUAAAGAAACUGAGGCUCCCAGAGACCCCAUGUAAUACUUACAGGGGGCUUUUCCCAGGCUCUUAGGCAUUAAUAAGCAGCCUAGGAGUUAGGGCCAGGCACCCCAUCACCACCUUUGGUCCUCUUGGGAGCCACAGGGCUUGGGGCUGCUGUUUCUGGCAAGGCCUCAUUGCCUUGGAGGCAGUGACGGUGAACCUCUGGGGCAGGGCAGUUGCC